AUUGAACGCUGGCGGCAGGCCUAACACAUGCAAGUCGAACGAGUGGCGGACGGGUGAAUAAUGUCUGGGAAACUGCCCGAUUGAGGGGGAUAACUACUGGAAACGGUAGCUAAUACCGCAUACCAUCGGAUGUGCCCAGCGGGGAUUAGCUAGUAGGUGGGGUAACGGCUCACCUAGGCGACGAUCCCUAGCUGGUCUGAGAGGAUGACCGGCAACAUGGGAACUGAGACACGGUCCAGACUCCUACGGGAGGAAGAAGUGGGGAAUAUUGCAAAAUGGGCGCAAGCCUGAUGCAGCCAUGCGGCGUGUAUGAAGAAGGCCUUCGGGUUGUAAAGUACUUUCAGCGAGGAGGCGGUACUCGCAGAAGAAGCAACGGCUAACUCCGUGCCAGCAGCCGCGGUAAUUC
rnacentral:rRNA from 1 species